UUUUGGCAUAUAUGCAUUGCAUUAGAGUGUUUGGCAUGCGAGUUAUGUUUGUUAUAUUAUGAUGAUUGUAUAUACAUAUUCGGUUGUUGUUGUGAUUUGUCGUAAUUGCUUUGAGGUGUGAAGUUGAGUUGAUUAAGUUCUGAUGUAAUUAUGUGUUCAUAAUUGAUUUAAUGAAUAUUCGAAGUGUUGAUUCAUUCAGAGCUAUUUUAGAACUGAAAAUUUGCAUUUUCUUUGUUGUAUUCANN
rnacentral:lncRNA from 1 species